rnacentral:rRNA from 1 species
CUGCGAAUGGCUCAUUAAAUCAGUUAUCGUUUAUUUGAUAGUACCUUACUACUUGGAUAACCGUGGUAAUUCUAGAGCUAAUACAUGCUAAAAACCCCGACUUCGGAAGGGGUGUAUUUAUUAGAUAAAAAACCAAUGCCCUUCGGGGCUCCUUGGUGAUUCAUAAUAACUCAACGAAUCGCAUGGCCUUGCGCCGGCGAUGGUUCAUUCAAAUUUCUGCCCUAUCAACUUUCGAUGGUAGGAUAGUGGCCUACCAUGGUAUCAACGGGUAACGGGGAAUUAGGGUUCUAUUCCGGAGAGGGAGCCUGAGAAACGGCUACCACAUCCAAGGAAGGCAGCAGGCGCGCAAAUUACCCAAUCCCGACGCGGGGAGGUAGUGACAAUAAAUACUGAUACAGGGCUCUUUUGGGUCUUGUAAUUGGAAUGAGUACAAUUUAAAUCCCUUAACGAGGAACAAUUGGAGGGCAAGUCUGGUGCCAGCAGCCGCGGUAAUUCCAGCUCCAAUAGCGUAUAUUAAAGUUGUUGCAGUUAAAAAGCUCGUAGUUGAACCUUGGGUCUGGC